rnacentral:lncRNA from 1 species
UUUGAAGAUUUUUUGAAUUUUAUAGUAUGUAUAUAGAUGAAUUUUAGAAAAUGUCUUGGUGUACUAGUUGCAAUUUUGGGUAAAAAUUUUGAACUCAAUUAAAUAGUUAAAUUAAGGAAUGUAAAGAUUUUUAUGGAUUGAAAUCUUAGAAAUUGGAGUUUGAGGAUUAAUGAUUAUUUUUGAAAUCUUCAAUGAUUUGUCAAUUGAACUAAAAUGAUUUUUUUUUGUAUAGAUAUUAGAAUUGAUUUUCAACAUUUUGAAUGAAAUUUAGAAGGAAUUCAAUGGUUCAAAAAGGGAAUAUUGGCACUAAAAGUUUAGUAUUCGAAUUAGAGUAGGAGGGUG